GUUGGUUGGCCGGCGGCGGGCCGGGACGGGCAUGGCCCUGCUGCUGUGCCUGGUGAGCCUGACGGCGGCGCUGGCCCACGGCUGUCUGCACUGCCACAGCAACUUCUCCAAGAAGUUCUCCUUCUACCGCCACCAUGUGAACUUCAAGUCCUGGUGGGUGGGCGACAUCCCCGUGUCAGGGGCGCUGCUCACCGACUGGAACGACGACACGAUGAAGGAGCUGCACCUGGCCAUCCCCGCCAAGAUCACCCGGGAGAAGCUGGACCAAGUGGCGACAGCAGUGUACCAGAUGAUGGAUCAGCUCUACCAGGGGAAGAUGUACUUCCCCGGGUAUUUCCCCAACGAGCUGCGAAACAUCUUCCGGGAGCAGGUGCACCUCAUCCAGAACGCCAUCAUCGAAAGCCGCAUCGACUGUCAGCACCGCUGUGGUAAGCAAGGCUCCGUCCAGGCUGAGGGGCGCGCCGGUGGCAGCUCGGGGCCCUGGAGGCCGAGGGGAGCCCUGGCGGCUCUCGUGUGUUUCAGGCAUCUUCCAGUACGAGACCAUCUCCUGCAACAACUGCACAGACUCGCACGUCACCUGCUUUGGCUAUAACUGCGAGUAGGGCUCAGGCAUCACACCCACCCGUGCCAGGGCCCUACUGUCCCUGGGGUCCCAGGCUCUCCUUGGAGGGGGCUCCCCGCCUUCCACCUGGCCGUCAUCGGGGUAGGGCGGGGCCGUGGGUUCAGGGGCGCACCACUUCCAAGCCUGUGUCCCACAGGUCCUCGGCGCAGUGGAAGUCAGCUGUCCAGGGCCUCCUGAACUACAU
rnacentral:sRNA from 1 species